rnacentral:rRNA from 1 species
GGGAAAGUUGAAAAGAACUUUGAAGAGAGAGUUCAAUAGUACGUGAAACCUCUCGGGGGUAAGCGGGCAGAACUUGCAAGUAUUGGCUGGGAAUAUUCAGGCUUAAUGUUGGCGACUGAGAGUGUAUUAUAAAGUUGUCCUUUUGGGGAUUGGCUGAUGUGUGCUCUUUGAUUUGUUGACGAUGCGCCGCAUUUAUUUCCGUCAUCGGGUUGCAUGUGACUGAGCCUGUAGUUUAGGUGCUGAGAUCCUGCGAAGCCUUGUUGUUUCGAGUCUUUGGUUUCCGACUACGGCUGCGGUCAUUAUAUCUUUUACUGGACAGGCGUUUAGGCGCGGUCAAUGGUUUGUACGAGUUGUGUGCAUGUUGUAUGUGGACGGGUAACCGUAGCAUACGAUAUGAGGCUGAUUGUCGGUAUGAGCUAAUUU